AGCAGCCGCGGUAAUUCCAGCUCCAAUAGCGUAUAUUAAAGUUGUUGCAGUUAAAAGCUCGUAGUUGAAUUUCGGGAUCAGUUGGUCGGUCGUGCCUCGGUACGUACUGGUCAAAUUGAUUCCUACCUUCUGACGAACCACGAUGUCAUUAAUUUGGUGUCGCGGGAAAUCAGGACUGUUACUUUGAAAAAUUAGAGUGUUUAAAGCAGGCUCGCGCUUGAAUACAUUAGCAUGGAAUAAUGAAAUAGGACGUUUGAUUCUAUUUUGUUGGUUUCUAGGAUCGACGUAAUGAUUAAUAGGGAUAGUUGGGGGCAUUAGUAUUCAAUUGUCAGAGGUGAAAUUCUUGGAUUUAUUGAAGACUAACUACCGCGAAAGCAUUUGCCAAGGAUGUUUUCAUUAAUCAAGAACGAAAGUUAGGGAUCGAAGACGAUCAGAUACCGUCGUAGUCUUAACCAUAAACUAUGCCGACUAGGGAUCGGAUGAUGUUAAUUUUUAAUGACUCAUUCGGCGCCUUACGGGA
rnacentral:misc_RNA from 1 species